rnacentral:rRNA from 1 species
AUGGCGUCCUACUGCUGUUUUAGGAAAUCAAGGACUCGUUUGCCAAGCUUUACUGUACCACGGUAUCGGUUGAUAACGCUCCAAGACAUGCUUUGCCUGAUUCUUCGUCCAGAAGGUGAAGUGGUUGCCAUCGAGGGCAUUGGCGGCUUGGGAAAGACAUGGGCGGCAAAAGAGGCAUUUGAAACCGCAAGGAACUCUAAUCGCUUUGAUACCUAUAUCUGGGUUUCAUUGUCUACAAGUUGUAGUCUGAGACGGUGCACUGAGAAGAUUGCCACAUGUCUUUUAAUUGACAUUGGUGCAGAACUGUUAUCGUCGAGAAUUAGGGUGAUGAUCAAGGAGCAUCUCACGAGACGAAAGUUCUUGUUGGUUCUCGACAAUGCUUAUUUUGUCGAGGAAAACAUCUUAGGGAAAUUGGGGAUUCCAUGUCCUCGAGAGCAGAGUUUAGGUUCAAAGGUCAUUGUGACCACAAGAACCGGGAGGACAGUUUCAGUCAUGGAUCCAGCUAUACUUAUAUCGCCAAAACCACUCACAGAUCAGGCCUCAUAUGACCUACUGCGCGAGAAGAUCGGCAAGGAUAUUGAUCUGGAGUUAGUUGACAACUGUUUUGGCAUGCCAUUGUCGAUUAUCUUACUGGCUGGGGCACUGUGUGAUAUGCCUGCACAAGAGUCGAGCAAGUUAAUAAGUGAAGCUUAUGUGGCUCUAGGACCCAAGAUAUCAGUGUUCACCACAAUGGUUCGCCUUGUAAAGUUUUGUUACCGUCGGCUUCCUAGUGAUACUGCCAGGCGCUGGUUCCUAUACUGCCUACUCUUCCCUGACGAUGAAGCAAUUCCUGUCUAA